CUCAGAGCUUGGAGCCUGCUUCCGAUUCUGUGUCUCCUUCUCUCUCUGCCUCUCCCCUACUCAUGCCCUGUCUUUCUUUGUCUCAAAAAUAAUAAAGAUAAACAUUAAAAAAAGAAUAGAAAGAUGAAGUCCAAUCCCAUUCCCUUCAAUAUGAACUGCUUUUGUGACCUGCUUGAUCAAUAGAAUGUGGUAGAAGUGAUGUCUGGAUGUUCCAAGGUUAGGUCAUAAGAAACCUUGGAACUUCUGGCUGUGCCCCUGGGAACACUCUCUUGGAACCCUGAGCUGCUGUUGUAAGAAAUCCUAUUACCCUAAGGAUUGUCAUGCUGUGAGGAGCCCAAGUUGAGGUGAGGGAGAUGGUAGGGAGAGAGGCAGGCCAAGGACUCCAAGUGCCAAACCUAUGAGUGCAGAAACCAUUUUGAAGAUGGACCAUCUAGCCCCAGUGGACACCAUGUAGAUCAGAGAUAAACCAGGCAGCAGAGCUCUUCAUGAAUUAUUGAGACACAACUAUUAUAAGCAAAAUAGAAGUGUUCAGAAAACUCAUUAGCGUCCAACCUCCUCAAUUAGGCAGAGUAAACACUUAUGACUCCGAACUGGCCCCCUACUGCAGGAGAGAUGGAUAGAAUUCAAGCAAAAUGUUGGCCUAGUACCCAAGGAUUUGACCACGACGUUUACUUCUCUUCAAUCAAAUUCAGGUCACAUCUUCCUGUAGUUUUCUAUAUAAGUAAUUAAGCUCUUAUCUCCAAUUUUCAAAGGAUCACUGUUUCCUUUGCUACAUGUAUCCAUUUCCUCUUUAAUUCAUGGUGUGUACUUAUCUAUUAUUGUAUGCAUACCAUUCAUUUGUGGCAUUAUCUGCUGUUAGAUUUUCCCAUUUUUCUUAAUCUGACAAUCACAGAAUCAGCAACACGAUAGCAGGCGAACCAAAUUGAGAGGCAGAGAUCUUUUUUAAUGCUGCGAAAGAAAAAGAAAGGGCACAUUUUAAAUGUUCUGCUUCUUAAAGAAUUCUAUUUAAAAAAAAAACUGUGAAGUUAUUGCACUUCUCCCUGGGAAUCGCGACUGUAUAAAUUCUAACUUUUCCCAGUGUUCAGGCACAUGGGAUCCAGGGAAACAUUAGCCACGUUCUAUUCAUGUUCAUAGGUCGUGACUAAGAUAAAUAGAUUUUCAAGAAACACUGAUGUGGGUGUACUUCAAGUGGGAGGAAUUUCAUGUUCCAGUCUCCCUGCUGAACACCUAGAAUAUUAGAGACUUGGGAAGUUUGUGCUUGACUCCUUUUCAGAGAGAACGUGACUGAGGUCACAGCGUGAUAAAUCUCUGACACGACAGUGCGAGGGAACAGGCAUCGGAACAGAGGGGAGCAAAACAAGCCGAAGUGAAAAGUUCAAAUGCAUGAUGGUAUUCUUACAAGCGAGGCAGCUGAGGGUUAUUAAAGAGCAGCUUUCAUAGAGGAGGUGGCUGAUCAUCCUCGUUUCAGACAGGAACGCUCUUGUGCUUUCUCUUCUCUCUGUUGUCAGUCAUAAUCCUGCACGUACGCGUGCACUCACACACACGCGCGCGCACACUGCGUAUUUAUACUCAAUGUUCAAUCUGUUGAAAAGUAUUUACUCUUCUUCAUCGGAAUGCUGAAUUGUGACAUGUAUCUUCAGUUCCUUAGCAACAAACUGUCAUGUCACCCUUGUGAAAUCCUGGUCAGCUGAGAGGGAGGGGAACGCUGAAUUGUGAUGGAGAAAAUCCUUAUUUUAAUCACAAAUGUGUAUAAGAACUGGAAAGACAAUAUGAAAAGGCAGGUCAAGGAAGCUGCGUUUGAACAAGUGUUUUUGAUUAAGAUUGGUACUCAACUUUGUAAGGAUGCCAUGGGUGCCCUUCUCAGCAGAGCACUAGAGAUUUGAAACAAAUCACCUGAACAGGGGAAAGGACUACAAGGAGUGUGCAUGAGCCUGAGGAAAAGAGCUGCCUUCUGCCCCGAAGAGCAGGAGUCCAUCUUCAAUGGGACACAUCUGUUGGCUUGUCUGCCCACGCUUCCCCUCUCUGGGAUUUGCUCGCCCGGCUACAUGUUUAUGAGGACAGCCGUGGUCAUGCAAUGUCCCUUUGGUUUUGGGGGGGUUUGGAAGGGGUAUCUGUUAGAGGCAAACAGCCACUCUGUCCUAGGAGAUUUUGACUUUCUCUUUUUCAUGCGUUUUUGCUUUUAUCAAAGUAGGUAAUCUGCUACUGGCCAGAUACACAACUGCAUUUGGAUACUGUAGUGGGGUCCAAGGACUACCCAAACCACUGCCUGGGAAUGCCAGUUUCUCAUAACGAGUUAGAAAUCAAUGCUAGCAGCUUCCCUGCUAAGUGAAAAAAUUACAUAAUUCCUUCUGCACCACUGCAUUAGGCAGAUUUUUUUCUCUUUCUGAACAUACAGUAAAUCCCAAGUGUUUUAAGCCAUGGUACCUCUCGUUAAACACAAUAUGAAAUCACUACCAAAUUUAAAUAAAAAAUAAAUUCGAUGUAGCGCUAAGAGAUUCUCCUGCCAAAAACUCUCACACAAUUAACACACUAGCAGAAUGUGUUGCUAAUUUCAUGCCACUGGAGUCUUUUCUACUUCAGAAUAUAGAAACAAAAUCGGGUCAGAGCUCCAAUAAUAACAGGAUUUUGUUAAAAUAUACAGCCCUGUGGUGCAGGUAUGUUGGAGGCAUGGGCGAAAAGUAGAAUCACAGUGAUGCAUGAAAUAGCUUACCCCUGCAAAUACAACAGCAAGAAUUUGUCUCCAGCUUCUCUGCCGCAGGAGAGAGAGAGAGAGGGACUGAGAGAGUCCAGAACUGCCCUGUUCUGUGGGGCAAAAGUGUCAUUAUCAGUGUUUGUCCAUCCACGCACUUCUACAAGGGAGGCAAGCACCAGUUAAAUUAGACUUGGGGACCCACAGCCCGUAAAUCCUAGAGCUCUGAUUCUCCUAGUAUCUCUCAGGCUCCCUCUCUCCAUCCUCACCUCCCACCUCUUCGCCUCCUAACACAGGCCUGGUCUUUUCCAUAACAAAAACGGCGAUAAUGAAAAUAUUUUGGCAGCAUUCAGGGCCUUUCACAUCGUGACCCUGACCUCCAAAUCAAUUUUCUUUAUUCUUAACCCGACCUUGGCAUCCAUUCUUGCUGGUGUUCAAUAUUAGUUACAAAAUCCUGAACUCCCCGAGACCUUCCCUCCUCCCCCAGAUAGCCAAGGCAGGCCACACUGCUGAAGCAGGCUCUUGACAAAGAAAAAUAGGAAGGAGAUCAACAAGCACUAUGAGUUCUAUAGGAGUCUCAUUUGCACCAAAUGCCAUUAGCCCCAUUAUUUACUCAGACAACAGUGGAGGCAGCCGCAGUCCCCCGCUUGUGUAGGGCACCCUGGAUGACACCAUGCAUCACCGGCCGCACAGAACUUCACUUAAAUAGUGAUAUGUAAGGUAGAGCCUGUUACAUUUAAUCCAUCACCCGUGGGUUCGCCUAGUGCAGAGACUGGAAAAAUUGUGCACAUUUCUCCAUUGCUGCCUGCAUUAAUCCUAGGAAGGGAGUGAACUGAAAAGAGAAAGUGCCAAUUUCAGCACACAUGUUAAAAAGAGAAGCAAAGAAUAAAAGGAAAAGAAAGCAUCUCCCUGACUCAGAUGGGGGAGGGAGGUUUUUAAAGGAGAAGACGGCUUUUCAGAACUCUGUGCAUUUACUGUGAGAACAAGUACCCACAGAGACCAGGGUUCGGGGUCAUCAUACAUUUAGGAGGAGAAGUUAGCUGGCAGGGGCUAUUUUUCUGCAAAUUAGUUUUCUCUCAAGGGUAACGGUGGGGGAGGAGCAGAGGAAAAUGAAUUGGAGCCGUUGAAUAAUCGUGUAUUGUUUGGCUGGUUGCGGGACCUCUGAACUGAUGCUCUAAGAAGCCUUUCCAGGCCUUCCUUUUCUAUGGGCCAGGAUGGGAAGCCUCUCACAGCUGUUGAUGAGUGUCCUAUAGGGGCAGCGAUGGGGACAGCAGUGUGGCCCCACAGACAAUGGUCCACAGAGCGUCGGCUCCACUUGGCAAGAAAGGCACGGUCUGCUGGUCAUUACUGCCGAACACAGGGCUGGACAGGUGGCCGAGCAGGACAGUGAGAAGGGGCAGGGUCCAAAGUCUGUGCUGGUCUCAAAGAAGUGAGGCGAGGGGCAAAGGUAGAAAAACAACAAUAUAGUGGGAAGCGAUAGACCAGCUCUCCUUGGGGGGAGGAAUGUUUAUAACAUGAAAACGGAUGAGUUCAUCUGGAAGUGUUUGUCUCAUUGCUUUUGGGUCCAGGGUCUGGUUGGAAUGCUCGGCAUCGUGUUUGUCCUGCAGAUGUUUUCCCACCCUCACUUUGGCCCUUACAAACACUGCCUCCUCUAAACCAGCGCUUCUCAGCUUCCCCUAAAGUGCCCCCCCCCGCCCCCCUGGCAGAGGAGCUCAAAGUCCACACUCGGGGACUCUGUGGGGAGAGCCUGAAAGCUCCCUCCACGAAGAAGAGACUGGGCUGAAGUCUGGUAUUUGUGUAUCUUUCAAAACCUGAUAUAUUGUGAAGUAGCCUAAAAUAACGAACGUUCGAAAUGACCAUUUAAAUUCCUUUCUUUCCUCAAUUCUAAUGUAUCAUUCUAAGAUGAAACUCAAUCCAUACCUGAGGGGGAAAAAAGAAAGAGGACAACACCCACGGAACACAUACUUAGAGUGUCAGAAGCAUCCUUCCAGAUUUCCAAGGCUUAAAACGUGAAUUUGAAAAAAAUCUAUGUCAUAAAAUCAAGGAAAUGUGUAAUUAUAAUCAAGGAAAAUGGAAAUGUCAAGAGGUAACAACCAGUUUGGCCUGUGGCUCCAGACGUACUGGGGCACACACCAGUUUGCAGAGCAUUACAGUGGGGAUGGCUAUUGUAAAGUGAUGAAACACAGACUUACCUGGUUGUAACCACCUUGUAAUAAAAUGCUGUGUUCUUUCAUUCUGGUGUUGUCAGAGCUCAGGGCAGCACCAGGCACACAGCAGGUGCUUAAUAAAUAUUUGCUGAAUUGAAA